UGUGGUAUUCCCAUCGUCGAAACACCUGUCCCCGUAAGAUCACCGAAGUUAAGCAACAUCAUUCCUGGUCAGUAACUAGAUGAGUGACCUCUUGGGGAUACUAAGUGCUGUAA